AGGACGAACGCUGGCGGCGUGCUUAACACAUGCAAGUCGAGCGGAAAGGCCCUUCGGGGUACUCGAGCGGCGAACGGGUGAGUAACACGUGAGCAACCUGUCCUUAGCUCUGGGAUAGCUCCGGGAAACCGGAAUUAAUACCGGAUAUUACACCGGCUGGCAUCGGCUGGUGUGGAAAGAUUUAUCGGCUAAGGAUGGACUCGCGGCCUAUCAGCUUGUUGGUGGGGUAGAAGCCUACCAAGGCGACGACGGGUA
rnacentral:rRNA from 1 species